rnacentral:tRNA from 2 species
GGCGAGGUAGCUCAGCUGGUUAGAGCGUGCGAUUCAUAAUCGCAAGGUCUUGGGUUCAAGCCCCAAUCUCGCUA